AAAUUGAAGAGUUUGAUCAUGGCUCAGAUUGAACGCUGGCGGCAGGCCUAACACAUGCAAGUCGAGCGGAAACGAGUUGUCUGAACCUUCGGGGGACG
rnacentral:rRNA from 1 species